UCUAUGUUAAACAGAUUAACAGAAAUAUUGGUAAAUUCAUAAACCCUUCGGCUCUCCGCCACCAAAACAGAGAGUCCCCCGCCGCGACGCCGCAUAUGGGAUUCUUCGACUUGAGCAUACCCUACCGGGAAUCCGACCGCCAUGCCGUCGACAAACCCUCCCUGAGAGGCCGCCGCCUGAAGCUCGCCCUGAAAGCCAUGGAACUCGGCUACACCGGCGUCGCCUACAAUCGCACCCUCACAGGCGUCAUGUCCGAAUCCGACCGCUGCUCCAUCCUUCUCUUCCCCAUCUCCACACUCACCCCCUCCUCCUCUUCGUUCUUUGCCUCCGUCAAGUUCCACCGCGACAUUCUACACGUCGCCGGUGCAGCCCCCUUCCGCCAGUACACCCGCCUCACCCUCGUCGUCACUAAUUCCGCCCAGGCUUUGGCUCUUAAUUCCGGUAACCCUGUGCUGCGAAGCUAUGACAUCGUCUCCGUUAGGCCUACUAGACAAGAUGCAUUUGAUCAGGCUUGUCAAAAUUCGGAGGUUGAUAUGAUCUCUAUUGAUUUCUCGAAGAUGGACUCAUUCAGCUUCAGGCUAAGGCAGCCGAUGAUCAAAGCUGCAAUUAAGCGAGGGUUGUACUUUGAGAUCACAUACUCUGAUCUGAUUGGUGAUCCAGAAUCAAAACGAAAAAUGAUAUCCAAUUGCAAGCUUCUUGUUGAUUGGACUCGAGGGAAAAAUUUAAUUAUAUGUAGUGAUGCCUCUUCUGCCUCUGAAAUUAGAGGGCCUCAAGAUGUAGCAAAUUUGUUCUUUUUGCUGGGACUCUCUAGAGAACGUGCUAAAGCAGCUAUCUCCUCAAACUGUAGAUCUCUCCUAGCUAAUGCAAUAAGGAAAAAACAUUUUUACAAAGAGGCUGUUAAAGUUGAAGAGAUACCAUCUGGUGGACAAUCCAUUACAUCAAAAUCUGUGUUUGAUGAUUGGCUCAAAUGGGAUCCUAUUUCUAGUGGCCAGGGUGAUGUGCUAUUGGAAGACAUGGAGAAGUCUUUUUCUAUUUCGAAAACUGUAAAAGAAAAUGUGAAAACCAUCAACUUCACCUCAAAUUUGAAUGGCCUGCCUGCACAUGGUUUCCAGAUCAAAGAUCUGGUAUUUGCGAAUAAGGCAUCUUUGGAGCCGUGUGAUGCGGAUAAACGUGCUCUUCUUGUCGUUGAGACUGAGGGGGGUGCUUCAGAUGAAAAGCAGGUUGCUAACACUUUGCGCAAACAACACCACAGCCUGCUUAAAAAUGAAGACGGUCCUGGUAAUUUGAAUAAUGAACCAGAGGGGGUUGUUGAUCUGCCUGAAGGUCAAACGUCACCAUCUGGUGCCACUAAUAUUUAUGCUAACUCUGAUUGUCAAGAUUCAGAAGUUCAAUUGGGUUAUGUUCCGGAUGCAAAACUUGCGCUUCCACCUCUUCUAGGACGUGAUCAAGUUUCCUUUGAUGUUGCACAGGGAGAAUAUCAGAUUUCAGGUUCGGGAGAUUCGUCACAAUUGUCUUUGCCCACUUUCAGUGUUAAUUCCGCAGAUUCUGAAGAAAUUAUAAAGACUUCAAAUGACUUGGAACAAAAUACUGUUGCAUCUGAAACCCAAUUAAAAGAUCCCCCAUCCCCUGUUCAGCAAGGAAACUUUUUACAUGGUGGUGGACAAGUUAGUAUCACAAAGAGCAAUACGUUAGCUAUUGACAACCAUGUUACUGUAGAACUUUCCAAUCCCUUGAAUAAAUCUAGUUCCUCUAUCUUUCCAUUAGAUCUUGGUACGGAAAAUCUAUUAGAAAAGGGUGCAUGUGCAAAUGAAGGUAACAGAAUGGAUGAAAUUCACAACAAAAAUGCCAUUGAAAAUAGGCAAGAGUAUCCCUUGGUAUCACCUCACAUCUCCUAUGAAGAUGGUUAUGGUGAAGGAGGACAGUGUAGUAAAAUUACUGAUAGUUCUAUUAAGUUUGGUGUUGGGUCGCCUCUAGAGGGGUCUUCAAAUAUGAUAACAAAAUUUGAUGAGCCAACAAAUGAUGACGUGAUGGUCGAGUUGAAGCAGAUAGAUUCACUCCCUGAUUGUCAAGGCUUUUCUAAAUCUCGUUCAGGAAUAAAUAAAAGAAAAGGAAAGUCGUCUCAUCAACCUUUCUUGUUUCCAUUCAAGCGUUAUAUGAAGUCCAAGCCUUCCAAGAAGAAGCCCCGAAAGUAAAGACCAAGCUAGUAUGUUGGAAUAAACUGAAGAACUAUUCAUAGCAGCUUAUAUGAUGCUUUGAUUUUGAAGGUUUGAGGAAUGAUGAGGCCACCCUACGACACUAAUAUUGUUUAUUGUCUUAGACUUGCUGAUUGGAAGCUAGUAGUGGUUUGCAUGUGCUAGGGCAAUAUCUCACUUUCAUAUUAAAAACUGUGAGAGUGGCUGCUGUCUGCUACUUUUUUUGCCUUGGACAUAUCCUUUUCCAACAUAACAGGGACUCAUUUAGCAUCAGGUCACAGAGAAGAUUUCUCCUUGUCGUUGUUGCAGGAUCGUUGGGUUUGAUCGCGCACAACUCUCUUCGGGUACUUUUACCAAUCUCAUUGCAGGUGUGUUUAAAAAGUAAGUAUAAAUGUAUUUACAUAUGUGAGAUGGAUGAAGAUAUAAGUAGGUUUGAUUUAGGUAAGAAGAUUUAUAGAGGUAGUGGAAAGGCCACCGCCGGCCGACAAUGGCCGGCCUCCCCCACUUCUAGGGACCAUUGUGUUGGGUAUUAGACUUUAUUGAAAUAAAGUCCAGAUUCAGAUUCUGAGUCAAAUUGCUUCUCUUCCUCACCUGAGCUGAUUUUUGCAUUAUUGUAAUGCUGAAAUCAAUGAUUCAGUAACAUGAGAGAGACCAAAUGAUUAGUGUAAAGAGAUUGUGCAAUCACCUGCUUUUGCAAUAUUAAAUGUGUAUUAUGGCUCCUAAAGCCAAACAUGCGCUUUCUAAUUUACUAAUGUAAGUUGGAAAAGUGCAUCAUGCAUUUAGUAGCUUAGCAUUAUGUAUACUACAAACAAUUUGUAACUAAUGCAAAUUGCAGUGGUUAUGAUGAGAUUGUUUUUCCUGUG